rnacentral:ncRNA from 1 species
UCUUGUUUUAUUUUAUGUUACUAUCUUGGUGCAGACGGGUGAGAACCUGCCAAGAAUCGGAGUAAAUUGUCCGACUCUUUAUAAGGAUACUUUUAAAGAGUAUGAACUUCUUAUUCGUGAGAAAAGAGGGUAGAACUAGUGUUCGAGAAUAAUCCGAUGUGCUGGUUGAUGUGCGCGUAAAUGCUUCCGUGGGGUCGCUCGAAGAAUAGACGCUGCUGUGCAGAAUAAUCUAAGUUAGGUGGGGUGUGAGAAACUUCGCAAACCUUAGAAACUCAAUAAUCGAGUUCGUACUGAUGUAAAAGAAAUUUUACUAUAAAACCUUACAGAGAACAAGUAGCCGAAUUUUGUACGAUGACAAAAAUACAGCGAGUUUAUAAUUAGGUAAUUAUAAAUAUAUGAAACAUAUUGUGGAACUUAGGUGAAAGUUAUGGGUAGUCAUUCCCAUAUAAACUUGUGUGGUUUGUGGGGCCGUUGGCACAAUCAAACCACUAGGGUAAACCGCCAAAAUGUCGCUCGUUUUGGCUCACAUUUAUCUUUUUAUUGGCAGAAUAUAAGCGAAACAUUUUAACUUAGUAAAGCGAAGGCUUAGUAAUAUAGAAUAAAACAA